rnacentral:rRNA from 1 species
AUUGAACGCUGGCGGCAGGCCUAACACAUGCAAGUCGAGCGAGCGGCGGACGGGUGAGUAAUGUAUGGGGACUGCCCGAUAGAGGGGGAUAACUACUGUAAACGGUAGCUAAUACCGCAUACUAUCGGAUAACCCAUAUGGGAUUAGCUAUGUGGUGAGGUAAUGGCUCACCAAGGCGACGAUCCCUAGCUGGUCUGAGAGGAUGAUCAGCAACACUGGGACUGAGACACGGCCCAGACUCCUACGGAGGCAGCAGUGGGGAAUAUUGCACAAUGGGCGCAAGCCUGAUGCAGCCAUGCCGCGUGUAUGAAGAAGGCCUUCGGGUUGUAAAGUUCUUUCGGUAGCGAGGCGUUAACCACAGAAGAAGCACCGGCUAACUCCGUGCCAGCCGCCGCGGUAAUAC